UAAAUUAUAAUUAUUAUUCAUGAAUCUGUGGCACUUUUUGCACGUGGAAAGAGAACGGAGCUAAAUUUCAACUUCGUUCCUUAGUUUUUGCUGGAAAUAAUCGGUUAAAUCAACGAUGUUAGCCUCAAACUUUUGACUGUGCUACCCAGAAUAUCCACGUUCAAGUAUUGUAAACAUUAACCAAAGUUUUACCUCAAGUGGAACUGGGCGGAGUGGACGCAACUGUCGUCGAAGAGUUGUGUGUGCGUUGGAAGCGUUCUGUGAAGAGCUAAGCUAAGAGGCUCAAUUAUGAUGUCAACUUCUCAUGACACACAUGGACAGAUAAACAGACAGACUGAGACAGGAAGUUAAUUCUGUGCUUGUUAAUCUAAAGGUAAAUAUCACAAGAUCACAAUGACAUCAAGCUGGAAUAAGUAUCAAAACCAUGAUAUGGAUGAUAGAAAAUGGUGUUCUAAAAUCACAGGAUCUUGUGCCCAUGCAUUCUACUGUCUGUUCUGUAUGCUUGUGGUCCUUUGUUACGAUGAACUCAUCCUGUAAUAAAUAAAUGUUGAAGUCCGACUGUGACAGUAUUCCAAACUUGUGGUGGAUCAUGACAGACCAUCAGCAAGAACUGCUGUAUACAUUGUGUCUCCCCCUAGGAGUCAGGAGUCUUUGGGUACAAAAUCUUCCAUCACUCGUGGAAAAUUGUGAGGAACUAUACACAGCUGGCUUGGUUAUACAUGCAUGGAAAGGCAAGAUGAUUGAAAUGGUGUGGGACCACAGUCAGGACAUCUCUAGAGCUUGGAAAUCAAGAAAAUGGUAAGGGUUAAUUUGAUAUUAAAGGAUAACUUUAUUUUCAAACGAAAGUCUUUUCAAUCAUUGUACAAUUGUUUAUUAACCCAUUGAGGCCUGUGCCAGCCGUAAGCAGACAUGACAAGCGUUAGCGUUUGUUCCACUUAUGACAUCAUCACCUUUCACCAAAAUUGGCAUCGUCUACACUUAAGUUCUGCAGGGGGGAAAAAAUAUUUCCAGUAAUACACAGAUCAAAGUGAUUGGCUCAAUGGAGCUUGAAAUAUGCACAAAAAUAGUCAGAAAUUUCCAUGGUAGGAAUUGCUCGUCUCAUUGAUACUUUCUUGAGAAUUUUUAAACUGCAAGCAAGCCCAGUAGAAGAUCAAUCACUGCAGCAAAAAGAUAAGAAAAGGUGA